rnacentral:rRNA from 1 species
UACGUAGGGUGCGAGCGUUAAUCGGAAUUACUGGGCGUAAAGCGAGUGUAGGCGGUUUGAUAAGUCGGAUGUGAAAGCCCCGGGCUCAACCCGGGAAGUGCACUCGAUACUGUCAAGCUAGAGUAUCGGAGAGGUUGGUGGAAUUCUCGGUGUAGAGGUGAAAUUCGUAGAUAUCGAGAGGAACACCGGUGGCGAAGGCGGCCAACUGGACGAAUACUGACGCUGAGACUCGAAAGCGUGGGGAGCAAACAGG